GAAAAAUUUAGUUAAAUUCUAUAACAUUAGAUUGUCAAUCUAAAAUUAUUUUAAAAAUAAUUUUU
rnacentral:tRNA from 1 species